CUAAAUUCCCACAUUUCCUGUAACACCUGAAGUGUACAUUUUACCGCCCUCUGCACUGCUCGGACUGCAUGCGAACACCGUUGGAAGCCGUGGUUUUAAGGUUUACCUUGUUGGAUAUGCUGGGAACUGUGGAAUAUGGUGGAGUUCAAAAAUAUGUCAAAGUUCCACGCAGUGAAGAAUGCUUCGACUUUACCCGCUUUCUUCAAGAUGUAGCGGACAAAUAUAGUCUGCAUGUUCAGCUCCUGACUGAAGGAGUGCUUGUUCUGAUGGAUCAGUCUGGAACAGAAGUGGAUGAGGACAUAUUUGAUGAGCUGUUGAAGUCUGGGGUCAAAAACUUUAAAGUCAAAUACAAGCAGCAGCCAGUGUUGGAUCUUACAAUUAAUUUGACCGCAGAAGAAUCACAAUCAACAGAUCCAGAAUCAUUAUCAGCCCCCCAACCAUCACCAGUUUCCAUAUCAAACUCUUCAGCAUCUUCCACUUCAUCAGAUUCAACUAUGAUCCUCCCAUCAGUGCAAAACAAAAGAAAGGACGUGAGAGAGAUGGACCGGGAUGAAGCUAAGCAGGCAAAGUGUUAAACCAUUUGAUAAAUACAUCUUCAAUUAAAAAUUGUAACACUGGUGUUAAAUUAUAUUUGAUCAUGAUACACAUUUUUCCUCAAAUAAUUGGCUUUACUAAGUAUGUUUGUUUUAAAUGCACAUGUUUGUUAGUAUGUGGGAAUGAGUUGUAUUAUUUAUUUAUGUUUUGUUUCCAGAUGGUUCAUUCAGCCUUAAGGUCCAACCCAAAGGGAGAGGAAAUCUUCAAGGAGUAUGACAAAACUAAAACUCUGUCAGAUGCAAUACGAAGGCAGAUGGUGAAUAUUCUGGUUGCAGACAUAACAUCUGCAUAUGGGAGGAUUCCACCGAUAAGUGCUCGCACCAGCUAUGCUCUGGGCAUUGUGACCCUUUUUCCCUAUCUUCAAGAUCCAUAUUCAAAAAAUGGAUUUGAACAUUAUUAUGAUCCAGACACCAAAACUGGCUAUCUUGCCUGGAGACUGAAGACGGUCCAGCGAAACACCAAUGUUGGCGCUCAUUUGCGUUCAAGGCCUGACUACCAGGAAAGUCCAAGAACCAAAAGAGAUUCUUUGUUAAUAGAUGGACAGCUGUUUGGUGAGGAGUGCAGAGAGGCUCUCUCUAUAUAAGACACUCUACAAAUAAAUCUGUGAUUAAAGAGAAGAUGAGAGCCACCUUUGAGUACAGACAGAAGCUGAUUCAUGACCAAGAUGCAACAUUGUCAGUCUUUGAAGUCUUCCCUCGUUUCCUUGACACGCCAGAGUUGAUCGACCAGGACUUUUCCAUGAUGUUUGGGGAUGAAGUAUCAGGAAGGUUUCUGGCAAAGUGGCCAUCCUAUUUCAAGAACAAAGUGAUUGCUGCAAGCCAGCGUCUUCCAUCGAGUUCCUACCUAGAGGAGUUACUGGCAUCUAUGGACCCCAAAGCUGAGAAUUACUUUGGCUGGGACAGUGAUACAUCAGCUCUUCUGCUGCUGCUGCAUCUCUUGCCUCCUACAUCCAAAGGCCACAAGAAAUCAGACAAAAUCAGCUCAGCACAGGCAGCCCACCGUCUUGUAAGAUUUGUAAAGGAAGGAGUCAGUCUUAAUACAUUUUUGGAGAAAGUUGAUGUUAGGCAGCCCUUCCUACUCUGUGUUGGGGAGCAAAGAAAAGAAAUCCGGAGGUUCUUCAUCAUGGUGGACCAGAAACCAAUCCCAUGCAGUGCCUUGACAUCAGUGGCUGCAUUUGAUGUGCUGUUUAAAGCACAUUUUGUCUUCAGCAUCUCCUAUGAUGAAGCCCUCUCCAGUUUCUACGCAUUUAUCCAAACCACAGUGUAUAACAUUGAUGUUGGAAACACAAAAGAAAGCCCACGAGUCAAGGAACUGAGAGCAUGACUUCUGCAAGAGCGUUAGCAUGACACCAGAUUUAAGGUCAGAACACCGUUAACAGAUUGAGAAUGUUCUCGUGUUUUGUUUGUAAAAUGCACCACAAAACUUGUUCAAAUCAGUGAUGAAAGUCUUCCGGGAAUUCCCGGAAAUCCGGGUUUUUGAGCAAACCG